GGGAGAUUUUGGGAUAGUAAACAUCACUAACUCGAGUAAUGGUCCAUUGACAAGAAGCAGAGCUAAAAUGAAACGGGUAAAAGAACAAGGUCAAGAAGGACAUAGAUAUCUGUGAAGGUGUUAUGGGAGUUCUGUUGUGCAGAUUAGCUACCCGUGGAUAUUAAUCUGGAAAUUCCUCAAAUCAUAACUUUUAUGGAUUUGUCACUUUGUU
rnacentral:misc_RNA from 1 species